AACGAACGCUGGCGGCAGGCUUAACACAUGCAAGUCGAGCGCCCCGCAAGGGGAGCGGCAGACGGGUGAGUAACGCGUGGGAAUCUACCCUUUUCUACGGAAUAACGCAGGGAAACUUGUGCUAAUACCGCAUAAGCCCUUCGGGGGAAAGAUUUAUCGGGAAAGGAUGAGCCCGCGUUGGAUUAGCUAGUUGGUGGGGUAAAGGCCUACCAAGGCGACGAUCCAUAGCUGGUCUGAGAGGAUGAUCAGCCACAUUGGGACUGAGACACGGCCCAAACUCCUACGGGAGGCAGCAGUGGGGAAUAUUGGACAAUGGGCGCAAGCCUGAUCCAGCCAUGCCGCGUGAGUGAUGAAGGCCCUAGGGUUGUAAAGCUCCUUCACCGGUGAAGAUAAUGACGGUAACCGGAGAAGAAGUCCCGGCUAACUUCGUGCCAGCAGCCGCCGUAAGAC
rnacentral:rRNA from 1 species